rnacentral:rRNA from 1 species
UACGGGUGGCAGCAGCGGGGAAUUGUUCGCAAUGGGCGCAAGCCUGACGACGCAACGCCGCGUGGAGGAUGAAGACCUUCGGGUCGUAAACUCCUUUCGACCGAGAUGAAUUCUCGCCGACCUAACACGUCGGCGGGGUGACAGUAUCGAGGGAAGCAACCCCGGCUAACUCCGUGCCAGCAGCCGCGGUAAUACGGGGGGGGCAAGCGUUGUUCGGAAUUACUGGGCGUAAAGGGUUCGUAGGUGGCCCGCUAAGUCACACGUGAAAUCCCUCAGCUCAACUGGGGAACUGCGUGUGAGACUGGCAGGCUCGAGUGCAGGAGAGGAACGCGGAAUUCCAGGUGUAGCGGUGAAAUGCGUAGAUAUCUGGAGGAACACCGGUGGCGAAGGCGGCGUUCUGGACUGUAUCUGACACUGAGGAACGAAAGCCAGGGGAGCAAACGGGGAUUAGAGAACCCCAGGAAGUCAUCUUUCUAGA